rnacentral:sRNA from 1 species
AGCCGCUGACGCGCCCUGUUGACGCGGCUCUUGAUCGUUCC